GUGAAUCAUCGAAUUUUUGAACGCAAAUUGCGCUUUUUUCGGAAGGCAUGUCUGUUUGAGGGUAACAUUUAAAAAAUUCUGUGCCGCGUUUUUUGCUGCACACGUUGAUGCGCUUUUCAAGAUAUCUAAAUUCUUGGUGGCGCAUAAUGAAAAGCGUGCAUGACUUUUUCAGUUCGAGUGUAGUAAAAUCUUUGCUUAGGUUGUGAAAAAACAUAAUUGAGCAAUGGGUGUGGCA
rnacentral:misc_RNA from 1 species